ensembl:rRNA 5S_rRNA 5S ribosomal RNA
UGAGGUGCUGGCAGCUGUCUUUCUGCAACACUCACAUGGUCGACCACUGAAGCUAAGCAGGUCUGUGCCCAGUCAGUACCUGGAUGGGAGACCACAUGGGAAAGCUGGGUUGCUGCCGUAA